rfam:Pteropus alecto contig86502, whole genome shotgun sequence.
GCCUAUGUCCAUGCUAUCCUGAACAAGCCUGAUCCUGUCUGAUCUCUGAAGCUAAGCAGGGUCAGGUCUGGUUAGUACUUGGAUGGGAGACCACCUAGGAAGACCAGGUGCUGUAGGCA